GACGAACGCUGGCGGCGUGCUUAACACAUGCAAGUCGAACGGGCCUGUCUUCUUUUUUGGGGGUGGGUUGAGUGGCGAACGGGUGAGUAUCACGUGAGUAACCUGCCCUUCGGUCCUGGAUAACCGCUUGAAAGGGCGGCUAAUACGGGGUGGUCCGGUUGGUCCGCAUGGGCUGGUCGGGAUAGAUUCACUGUUUUUGGUGUUUCGGCGGGGGAUGGGCUCGCGGCCUAUCAGCUUGUUGGUGGGGUGAUGGCCUACCAAGGCGGUGACGGGUAGCCGGCCGGGGGGGGUGGGCGGCCAAACGGGGACUGAGAUACGGCCCAGACUCCUGCGGGAGGCAGCAGUGGGGGGUAUUGCACAAUGGGCGGAAGCCUGAUGCAGCGACGUCGCGUGAGGGAUGGAGGCCUUCGGGUUGUGAACCUCUGUUUCCGGUGGUGAAGGCCCUGUCCGUGUGGUGGGGUUGACGGUAGCCGGGGAUGAAGCGCCGGCUAACUACGUG
rnacentral:rRNA from 1 species